UGUGGUUCUGGCUCAGUGGUAGAGCUCUGGCUCCUCUAGCACAUGUGAAGCCCUGGGUUUGAUCCUCAGCACCACAA
rnacentral:tRNA from 1 species